rnacentral:rRNA from 1 species
UCUUGGUCAAUUUAGAGGAAGUAAAAGUCGUAACAAGGUUUCCGUAGGUGAACCUGCGGAAGGAUCAUUACAGAGUUCCUGCCCUUACGGGUAGAAACCCCACCCGUGUAUAUUAUAUCUUUGUUGCUUUGGCAGGCCGCCUUCGGGCACCGGCACAUGCUGGAUCGUGCCUGCCAGAGGACCCCAAAUUCUGAAUGUUAGUGUCGUCUGAGUACUAUAUAAUAGUUAAAACUUUCAACAACGGAUCUCUUGGUUCUGGCAUCGAUGAAGAACGCAGCGAAAUGCGAUAAGUAAUGUGAAUUGCAGAAUUUAGUGAAUCAUCGAAUCUUUGAACGCACAUUGCGCCCCUUGGUAUUCCGAGGGGCAUGCCUGUUCGAGCGUCAUUUAAACCAAUCCAGCUUGCUGGGUGUUGGGCUUUCGCCUCUGGGCGGGCCUUAAAAUCAGUGGCGGUGCUGCCAGGCUCUAAGCGUAGUAAUUCUUCUCGCUACAGGGUCCUGGUGGAGGCUUGCCAACAACCCCAAAUUUUCAAAGGUUGACCUCGGAUCAGGUAGGGAUACCCGCUGAACUUAAGCAUAUCAAUAAGCGGAGGAAAAGAAACCAACAGGGAUUACCUCAGUAACGGCGAGUGAAGCGGUAACAGCUCAAAUUUGAAAUCUGGCUCUUUCAGGGUCCGAGUUGUAAUUUGUAGAAGAUGCUUCGGGUGUGGCUCCGGUCUAAGUUCCUUGGAACAGGACGUCAUAGAGGGUGAGAAUCCCGUAUGUGACUGGUUGCCUUCGCCCAUGUGAAGCUCUUUCGACGAGUCGAGUUGUUUGGGAAUGCAGCUCUAAAUGGGUGGUAAAUUUCAUCUAAAGCUAAAUAUUGGCCAGAGACCGAUAGCGCACAAGUAGAGUGAUCGAAAGAUGAAAAGCACUUUGGAAAGAGAGUUAAACAGUACGUGAAAUUGUUGAAAGGGAAGCGCUUGCAACCAGACUUGCACGCCGUCGAUCAUCUCAGGUUCUCCUGGGUGCACUCGGCGGUGUUCAGGCCAGCAUCGGUUUCGGUGGUUGGAUAAAGGCCUUGGGAAUGUGGCUCCUCUCGGGGAGUGUUAUAGCCCUCGGUGCAAUGCAGCCUACCGGGACCGAGGACCGCGCUUCGGCUAGGAUGCUGGCGUAAUGGUUGUAAGCGACCCGUCUUGAAACACGGACCAAGGAGUCUAACAUCUAUGCGAGUGUUUGGGUGUUAAACCCAUACGCGUAAUGAAAGUGAACGGAGGUGAGAACCCUUUAGGGUGCAUCAUCGACCGAUCCUGAUGUCUUCGGAUGGAUUUGAGUAAGAGCAUAGCUGUUGGGACCCGAAAGAUGGUGAACUAUGCCUAAAUAGGGUGAAGCCAGAGGAAACUCUGGUGGAGGCUCGCAGCGGUUCUGACGUGCAAAUCGAUCGUCAAAUUUGGGUAUAGGGGCGAAAGACUAAUCGA